rnacentral:miRNA from 1 species
UAUUUUGCUAUCUUCGGGCAAUA